AACAUUGUGCAGUGGCAAUAUCGUAGCCAAUGAGGUUUAUCUGAGGCGUGAUUAUUGCUAAUUGGGGAAAAAAAGUGGAUAGCAGGCCCUUUCGCUCUGGGCCUGUAAGGGGAGGGCACCCCAUGCUCUCUGAAAUGCCUUCAGUCAUUCUUCCUGGUCUUGGACUAGAGGC
ensembl:snRNA U4 U4 spliceosomal RNA